UCUCAUCUUGUGCAAUUCUGUAUAAUGCCCCCUUAGGUGGUCGACAAGUGUACAACUUUAAGUGAACAACCAGGAUUAAUUGUUGGUUGAAUUUUCACCAAAACCUGGUUAGAGGCCAAUUGAACUGGCCGUGUGAAGAUUCAAACCAAACCGGUUCAAACGAGACGAGGCUUCUCAUCGGCCAUGGCUUGUAGCUUCUUCUCUUCUCUAACGAUUUAGGUUUAAGUUUUUCGUUCUUUUUUCGGUUUUGAUUCUCUGUGUGAGUUCCAUUGAUUGUUGAGUUCGUUUGCUUCCAUCGGCGAAGAUGGGUGGUAUCAGUUUGGAGGAAAUUAAGAACGAGAAUGUUGAUCUGUUGCAGUAUAAAGGAGGGAACUGAGGUAUCUCUGCUGUAUGUUCUGAUCGGCUGCUGCAUCUUCUUCUCCGGCGGUUCUAGAUUUAAGCUUCUCUCUAUCUCUCUCUCUUAGUGUCUGAUGGUUACAUUCUAAUUGUUUUGGCUCCAAACGAUGAAGCUAUGUCUAAGCCAUAAACGGACCAGUUGACCCGGAGCAGAUCUUAUAUUACCAUCUCGUCCCGGAGAGUAUAUAGUGCGGUGAGAAGGUUCCCCACAAGGUUGUAGCCGAAGAAGUUGAUGGGUUUGUGAAAUUUGGAGAUGAUCAACUCAUCUGUUCAAUCCCGAUAUCUACACCGAAGGCCGAAUUUCAGUUCAGGAUAUUGAUGGUGUUUUGUUCCCCACUGAAGAAAAGACGAGAUCUGAAACGAAAUUGGUUCAACACAGCACUCUUACCCCCACUAAAGCUAAUGUUAAGCCCAGAAGAGGUGCGUCAGAAACAUUCUUUUUUCUUUCUUUUUCUUCAUUACUUUUUCAGACAUUGGAAUUCUAGUUCUUGUUUCACUUGUUUGUUAUAUCUACCGAAUUCCGGUGGUGUUUAGUUCAGUGAGGUCGUCGUUUCCAAUGAGUGUUUAUGUGGAUCACAUCCUCUUUGUUUGGAU